rnacentral:rRNA from 1 species
UACGUAGGGGGCAAGCGUUGUCCGGAUUUAUUGGGCGUAAAGGGCGCGUAGGCGGUUUCUUAAGUUUGGAGUGACAGUGGGUGGCUUAACUACCCAAGGCCUCUGAAAACUGGGGAACUUGAGGACCAGAGAGGGACAUAGAAUUCCGGGUGGAGUGGUGAAAUGCGUAGAUAUCCGGAGGAAUACCAAAGGCGAAGGCAGUGUCCUGGAGGGUGACUGACGCUGAGGCGCGAAAGCUAGGGGAGCAAACAGG